UGAGGAAUAUUGGGCAAUGCCCGCAAGGGUGACCCAGCAACGCCGCGUGGAGGAUGAAGGUCGUAAGAUCGUAAACUCCUGUUAGAGGGGAAGAAUAGCUAAGUUUGGAGCUUAGUAUGACUGUACCCUCAGAGAAAGCCCCGGCUAACUACGUGCCAGCAGCCGCGGUAAUACGUAGGGGGCAAGCGUUGUCCGGAUUUACUGGGUGUAAAGGGCGCGCAGGCGGGAUGACAAGUCAGAGGUGAAAUCC
rnacentral:rRNA from 1 species